GGUAAAAAAAAAAUUUAUUUUCUCUUUCUAUUCCUCUUUCUCCAAAUUACCCUUCUCUCUACAACACAUUCCACACCAAACGUCUUGCUGCCACUACGGACAUUCCAAACCAUGAGUAAUAGAGUACCCCCAUUAACACCGACCUCAAUCACAUUCCUAUGUACCACCUUCCCUUGCCUCAACCAAAUCGCUGUCCCUCGAAGGUAUUGAUAAAAGAUAGUCUUCCCAUACUUCCGCUAAUUCUCCUCUGACACCGCCUCCUUCCGUCGUCGUGUUUUGUCGCACCAUGGGCGGAGGCCUCAGCCGCGAAGUCUGCCAGUGGUGUCACACCAUGGAGGCGCGGAGUGCGCGAUAUGUCCAGAGGAAUUGCAAGAUGGCGAAAGAUGAAGAUGAUUCCAUACUGCAAGCACGUGUUCCACCCGCUUCUCUUACCCAAACCAAACUUUCAACCUUGUGGUUCGAAUCGCGAUUUGUGCUAUCGUGGAGUUAUUCACUGAAGGAACAAAUUUGUGUUGUUCUUCUUUGACUCAAUUCGAUUGCGCUAUUUUGCUCUAAUUGUUGCUAUGGCUUUUCUUUGGAUUUUUUAUUUGAGAGGGCUUUGCUUCGCCUGAUUCGGAUUUAUUUGAUUUGCAUCCUCAAUCACCUGAAAUAUUUGGAUUCUAUGUGCGCUAAGAUUUUUGCAACGAAAUCAACUCAGAGAUGGGCACUUAGCGUCCGACGAGAGGUUGGUGUUGGCGGUGAGGGACAACAAAUUGCAUGAGGCAGGGGACAGUCUUUUCUGAAACUGUUUACCGGAUAGGGAGAAGAAGGUAUUGAUGAUUGUGAUUCCGCUUCAGGUUCUGGCUAACUUGGCUUCCGUUGUGAUUGGGGAAACCGGACCUUUUAUCAAAUAUUGGGUUACUUGGAAUCAGGUUCUUGUGUUAAGAGGUGUGGUUGGAGAUGGGGGGUUUGCCAGCGGCAAAGGUGGAGAUGACGGAGCGGUGAGGCGGAAAGAGUGACAGUGGUGGAAUGCUUGACCGAGAAGAAGAGGGAUAAUAUGGGAACGAUCAAUAAUAAUGGCCUGCUGUAAAAAAAAAAUUUAAAACCAUCAAUAUUGACAAAUUACUCCAUCGUGAAUUAGCUGACAAAUUACUCCAUUAGACUAGUCAAUGUCGUGGCAACUAAUUUGCACACAUGGAGUGUGACGUAAGUUAGUCUUAUACUCUUAUGUCAUGGUACAAACACCUUAGAGUAUAAGGAAGAGAAUUAAGGGUAUGAUUAAUUUAUUGUAUUUUUUUACUUUCAAUGAUUAAAUUUAAUUUUUUUUUAUCUUUUAGAAA